AUUGAACGCUGGCGGUAUGCCUAACACAUGCAAGUCGAACGGCAGCACAGUAAGAGCUUGCUCUUACGGGUGGCGAGUGGCGUACGGGUGAGGAAUGCAUCGGAAUCUACUUUUUCGUGGGGGAUAACGUAGGGAAACUUACGCUAAUACCGCAUACGACCUACGGGUGAAAGGAGGGGAACUUCUGGCCUUGCGCGAUUGGAUGAGCCGAUGUCGGAUUAGCUAGUUGGCGGGGUAAAGGCCCACCAAGGCGACGAUCCGUAGCUGGUCUGAGAGGAUGAUCAGCCACACUGGAACUGAGACACGGUCCAGACUCCUACGGGAGGCAGCAGUGGGGAAUAUUGGACAAUGGGCGCAAGCCUGAUCCAGCCAUACCGCGUGGGUGAAGAAGGCCUUCGGGUUGUAAAGCCCUUUUGUUGGGAAAGAAAAGCAGCAGGUUAAUACCACGCGGUUCUGACGGUACCGAAAGAAUAAGCACCGGCUAACUUCGUG
rnacentral:rRNA from 1 species